rnacentral:rRNA from 1 species
UAAGGAAUAUUGGUCAAUGACGCAAGUCUGAACCAGCCAUGCCGCGUGAAGGAUUAAGGUCCUCUGGAUUGUAAACUUCUUUUAUCUGGGACGAAAAAAGGCGAUUCUUCGUCACUUGACGGUACCAGAUGAAUAAGCACCGGCUAACUCCGUGCCAGCAGCCGCGGUAAUACGGAGGGUGCAAGCGUUAUCCGGAUUCACUGGGUUUAAAGGGUGCGUAGGCGGGCAGGUAAGUCAGUGGUGAAAUCCUAGAGCUUAACUCUAGAACUGCCAUUGAUACUAUCUGUCUUGAAUAUUGUGGAGGUAAGCGGAAUAUGUCAUGUAGCGGUGAAAUGCUUAGAUAUGACAUAGAACACCUAUUGCGAAGGCAGCUUACUACGCAUAUAUUGACGCUGAGGCACGAAAGCGUGGGGAUCAAACAGGAUUAGAUACCCUGGUAGUCCACGCCCUAAACGAUGAUUACUCGACAUUUGUGAUACACUAUAAGUGUCUGAGCGAAAGCAUUAAGUAAUCCACCUGGGAAGUACGACCGCAAGGUUGAAACUCAAAGGAAUUGACGGGGUCAUAGCUGUUUCCUG